rnacentral:rRNA from 1 species
GACAGAGGUUGCAAACGUUGUUCGGAAUCACUGGGCAUAAAGCGCACGUAGGCGGCUAAUUAAGUUAGGUGUGAAAUCCCCCGGCUCAACCGGGGAACUGCGCCUGAUACUGAUUGGCUUGAGAACGGUAGGGGUGAGCGGAACUCCAGGUGGAGCGGUGAAAUGCGUAGAUAUCUGGAGGAACACCGGUGGCGAAAGCGGCUCACUGGACCGUAACUGACGCUGAUGUGCGAAAGCGUGGGGAGCAAACAGG